rnacentral:rRNA from 1 species
AUUGAACGCUGGCGGCAGGCUUAACACAUGCAAGUCGAGCGGAGAUGAGGUGCUUGCACCUUAUCUUAGCGGCGGACGGGUGAGUAAUGCUUAGGAAUCUGCCGAUUAGUGGGGGACAACAUUCCGAAAGGAACGCUAAUACCGCAUACGUCCUACGGGCGAAAGCAGGGGACCGUCGGACCUUGCGCUACUAGAUGAGCCUAAGUCGGAUUAGCUAGUUGGUGGGGUAAAGGCCUACCAAGGCGACGAUCUGUAGCGGGUCUGAGAGGAUGAUCCGCCACACUGGGACUGAGACACGGCCCAGACUCCUACGGGAGGCAGCAGUGGGGAAUAUUGGACAAUGGGGGGAACCCUGAUCCAGCCAUGCCGCGUGUGUGAAGAAGGCCUUAUGGUUGUAAAGCACUUUAAGCGAGGAGGAGGCUACUGAGACUAAUACUCUUGGAUAGUGGACGUUACUCGCAGAAUAAGCACCGGCUAACUCUGUGCCAGCCGCCGCCGUAACAC